rnacentral:tRNA from 2 species
GGGGAUAUAGCUCAGCUAGUAGAGUACUUGUCUCAUGCACAAGGCCCUGGGUUCAAUCCCCAGCAGCACAA